UGGGGAAUUUUGGACAAUGGGCGCAAGCCUGAUCCAGCCAUGCCGCGUGCGGGAAGAAGGCCUUCGGGUUGUAAACUGCUUUUGUACGGAGCGAAAAGGUCUGCCCUAAUACGGUGGGCUCAUGACGGUACCGUAAGAAUAAGCACCGGCUAACUACGUGCCAGCAGCCGCGGUAAUACGUAGGGUGCAAGCGUUAAUCGGAAUUACUGGGCGUAAAGCGUGCGCAGGCGGUUAUGCAAGACAGAGGUGAAAUCCCCGGGCUCAACCUGGGAACUGUAUUUGUGACUGUAUAGCUAGAGUACGGCAGAGGGGGAUGGAAUUCCGCGUGUAGCAGUGAAAUGCGUAGAUAUGCGGAGGAACACCGAUGGCGAAGGCAAUCCCCUGGGCCUGUACUGACGCUCAUGCACGAAAGCGUGGGGAGCAAACA
rnacentral:rRNA from 1 species